GACGAACGCUGGCGGCGUGCUUAACACAUGCAAGUCGAACGGAAAGGCCCUGCUUUUGUGGGGUGCUCGAGUGGCGAACGGGUGAGUAACACGUGAGUAACCUGCCCUUGACUUUGGGAUAACUUCAGGAAACUGGGGCUAAUACCGGAUAGGAGCUCCUGCUGCAUGGUGGGGGUUGGAAAGUUUCGGCGGUUGGGGAUGGACUCGCGGCUUAUCAGCUUGUUGGUGGGGUAGUGGCUUACCAAGGCUUUGACGGGUAGCCGGCCUGAGAGGGUGACCGGCCACAUUGGAACUGAGACACGGUCCAGACUCCUACGGGAGGCAGCAGUAGGGAAUCUUCCGCAAUGGGCGAAAGCCUGACGGAGCAACGCCGCGUGAGUGAUGAAGGUCUUCGGAUCGUAAAACUCUGUUAUUAGGGAAGAACAAAUGUGUAAGUAACUAUGCACGUCUUGACGGUACCUAAUCAGAAAGCCACGGCUAACUACGUG
rnacentral:rRNA from 1 species